GAUAUAUGUGAUGCUUUGGAGCUAUUAACUCCUCUAUUUGAAAGUGAAGAGGUUUGAGCUUAUGCUGUGAGUGUCCUUGAAAGAGCUGAUGAUGAGGAGCUCCAGUGUUACAUGCUUAAAAUGGUUCAAGCUCUCCUUUUUGAACGCUCAUAUAGAUCUCGGUUUUCUCAAUUCCUUGUCUAAAGGGCAUUACAGAAUGUUGCUGUGGAGCUUUUUGACAAUGUCUAUGAAAGGCGAUUUUACAGCACAUACAACUUACUCUAUGAGAGUAUGAAAAAGGUGUGGAACUUGGGAUGUGGGUUUUGGUUAACAGUGCCAGGUUGUUAUGUAACAUAUUUAUUAUUGAUGGAGGCACAUGAAUGUCGUGUUAAAUUUUUGGAGUUUUCUUAGUUUUGAUUUUCGUGGUUGUGAUCUUUGCAGGUUGCUUCUCUUUAACUUGAUUAUGGAUAUGUUUCACAUGUGAAGUUGCAACUUGCAAGAUGAUGUAUGAUGAUCUCUGAGAAAAUAGUAGGAGAGGAGUCCAUUCGCCAAUGUUGGUUGUUGCCAUCAGAAGCUACUUUUGAUGAUGAUAAUGAAGAAGUUCAAAUAUUGGAGAUCCAAGAGUGUGAAGAGAAUUCACAAGUUCAAAUACGAGAGUCGUGUGAACUUAGUUUUUAAUUAUGUACGUUUCUGUCUUUUUUUUUUACGGAAGUACUUUUACUUUGUAAUAUAGGUUUUUUGUAUAAUAGUUUCAUAUAUGAAAGUAA